UGUAAAAAAUUUUGUAAUUUUACAGCCAUUUCUUUGUAAAAAAUACGAUGGUUUGGCAGUAUUUUGGACGAGCAACUAUUUAUACGUAUUUUUACAUCAUCGUGUUGUAAUUUCACCGCUUGUACGAUGUAAAAUUACAUAUACUGUUGCAUAAUCAUAAAACAAACAUACGGUUGUUAAAUAUACAAUGAAUUAUACGUAACAUACAAAAACGGCUGUACUGAAAACAGCUAUCUCGCGGUUAUGUUAAAAUAAGUCCACUUGGUAGUAAUCAAAAGCAUAGAGCUCAGAAGACAGUCUUCCACAUAUUAUCAGCAAAAUGCAUGCCAAUAAAAAAUACAUUGGUGCGACGAAUUUGGUUCCAAACUGAUACAAAUUUGGCUUCGCGUCAUAAGGCGCAAGUCAUACAAUGCUACGUAAACCUGCGGCUUCGUAUGUCAUCUCCACAUAGAAUUUAUAGCUUACGAUAAAAAAAAAUCCUAAUAUUGCACUUAAUAUUAUAUCGAGUGGAAGGAUAUUUUAUUUUAGGCAUCAUGUAAACUGGUGAUUCAACCAGAGCCAUUAUAUAAUGGCUCUGAUUCAACUGACAGCACUCAUUCUCAAACGGCAGUCACGACUCCAACUACUGGCGAAUCUGAAGGUUGUAAAACAGAAAGUAUGGAGAAAGAAGUACCGUUACCUAGGUUGUAAACUCUGGACUACUGGUGCUUGUAGACUACCGGUAGAUCUUCAGGUUUUGGAAGUUCGAAAGUGGACAAACAUAUUCUGCCAUUUUACCUCUGGGGCAUUCACAUUUGGCCCUUAUUAAGUCUGUCAUUGUAUCAACACUACAAAAGAAUUUCUGGAAAGAUGAGGAACUGGUAGCCUAUUGGUGUUUCUUUUUUCGAUGGCAAUGCCGAAUUGCCAAGAUAAACAGCCUGUGCAAGAAAAAGUGACAGAGGGCCACUGCAAUGUUGAAUCUUUUAGAUGGUUUCCACCUAUUUGAAGAGAUGAAAUGAACUAUUUUGCUGGCGGAGACGAUCACUUCUCGAGUGUAUUUGAUACU